rnacentral:rRNA from 1 species
UAGGGAAUAUUAGAAAUGGACGAAAGUCUGAUCUAGCAACACCGCGUGUGCGAUGAAGGCCUUCGGGUUGUAAAGCACUUUUUGGAAGGAUUAGGAAGGAAUGUACUUCCAGAAUAAGUCUCGGCUAACUACGUGCCAGCAGCCGCGGUAACACGUAGGGGGCGAACGUUAUCCGGAUUUACUGGGCGUAAAGCGCGUGUAGGUGGUUCUGUAAGUAGGGCGUGAAAGCUCCUGGCUCAACUGGGAGAGGCCGUUCUAAACUGCAGAGCUAGAGGAUGGUAGAGGGAGGUGGAAUUCCGGGUGUAGCGGUGGCAUGCGCAGAUAUCCGGAGGAACACCAGUGCCGAAGGCGGCCUCCUGGACCAUUCCUGACACUCAGACGCGAAAGCUAGGGUAGCAAACGG